UCUUCUGCAGUUUAUUUUGGUACAAAGAUCGAAGACAUAAUAUCAGUAUAAUAAUUUCCAUUUGUUUGUCAUGAACCUUGCAGUUGGAUUGCUUCUGCACUAGGGGAAUGCUCGCAUUAUUAUAAGAGUUAAUUGCUAUUACAUCCAAACAGUAUGUACAUGUUAAAUGCAUUUACCCUGUUCAAGAACUCGUCUGAUUAACCAGUUAACUUGCUGAUUAAUCCCUACUUGUAGGGUCACCGAGUAGCCAAUAAACUGAUAAAUUGUCGGAUUAAUUAAUUAAGUGGUCUAUUAACCUAUUAAUCCCUUGUCAGCCAACCGAGCAGCUACCAGUUAACGGUUUACUUAACAAUGAUUUAUAGUGAUUUGAACAAUUUGGCUAGAGGUAAAUAAAUUCUUCAGUGAACUAAGAAUCUGUGGUAAAAUAGAUGCUCAUGGUAGUGCAAGUUCUUGUAGUCCACUUGAAAUCUCCCUGAGGACCUGAUCUUGUUUCAAGUGAUUGUGUGUUGCUUUUCUUCAAUUCCUCAACAGGUUAAUCCAAUUGAGUGAUAUAAUUCAUGGACCUGAUUUCUUUGACAUAUUUAAUGGGUAUGGUACUAUUUGUUCAAGAGUCAUCCCAUUAACAUCAGAGCAACACAAGAAAGAUGUGCUUGAGAGGUUCUUACAAGCCCUGUACAUAUCUCCAGAAAGGGGCUCAUUUGUUCAUGGAACUUGGGGUGAUAGGAUCUUUGAUGUAUGAGCCAUCCUAUGGGAAUUCAGGUGCUGACAAUCUAAUAACAAAGGAAUUGACCCUCAAAUUUGCAACCAAGAUUAUAGUUGGCGAACAAUUUGCAAUUUAUGUAGUCACACCAAUGUGACCUUAAGGAGUCCCUACCUCAGUCUCUGCAAGAAAUUCCUUUCUUUCAGGCUGCUCGCGGUGCCAGUCGGUGCACCCAUCCGCGUGUUACUUCAGCAUGACAUUUUUAUAGAUAUUUUUUCUGGAAUACGCAUAGCAUGCGUAUCAUCUAUUGAAAGUACCUUCAGGUGGAGUACACAUAGGACAAGCUGCAGAAAAUACAUUCAGGAAGAUGACAACACCCUUCCACUCAAGCUCGGAGACAGCACCAUGAGCUGCGUGCGACACUCGCUUCAUACUUGGAACCGACAAGAGGGCCAACCUCAUGACGAACUGGUCAUGGUUUCGCCACCAUGCCAACAUCCAUGAAGGCGACAUAUGCGCCUUCCAUUUCAAGCGCAUGGAAGGGCAUCACCUACCCCUCAACGUCCAUCGUCUCUAGAUGUAAUGCCAUCAGCAACACCUACCGUCUACAUAUAUGAAUCAUCUAUUGUGUUUAGCUUAGCUCUUAGACUUCCUGCGUUGUGAUGGCCCAAUGAACACGUUCACAACUGCACCGGCAAGGCAAGUACACAAAGGACCGCACAGGAGGCGCGCCUAGGGCGCGCCCCAACCACUAGUCAUAGAGAGUAGAUGAACACAUAUCACAGAGAGUAGAUAAACAUGCGGAAGCGAAAACACUUCAAUGCGAGGGCAGAUGAACAUGCCGUA